rnacentral:ncRNA from 1 species
GGUUUUUAAUAUUAAGUUUGAUUUUGGCUUUGGAUAUAUUAAGAUAGUAUUACUUAUUAUUAGUUUAUUUAAGUGUGUAUUUUUUGGACAUUGGUAGUUUUUUUAUUGUUUAAUAAUUGUUCCAGAAUAAUCGGCUAUGCAUUAUAAUUUUUUACUCUUUUUUGGUUUUUUUUUAAUUUUUUGUGUUUUUUUAUUUAUUGUUAUUUUUGUGAAAUGUUUUAAUUUGUUUUUUUUUUUGUUAAAAAAGGAAAUUUUUUUUUGUGAACUGGAUUAGUACCCAGGUAAUAAAUAUUUAUUAAUUCGGGAGUAGAGUUGUAUUUAAACCGAAAAAAUAUUGACUGAUUUUAAAUUUUUCUUUGGAACAUGUGAAUUUUGGAAAAUCCUCUUUUUUUGUUCUUAUUUUUUGCUCAUGUAUGAUUGUUGUUUUUUUAUAUUUUAUGUGAUUUUUUUUGUUUUUUAAAACAGAUAUAUAUUUGGUUUAUGUAUGAAUUUUCAUGUGUUACUAUUAUUAGUUUUUUUCGGAUUAAUUUUUUAUUUUUUUAUGAAGUUGGAAAAGAAAGUAAUUUUUUUUUAAUAUAAUUAUGAAUUUUAAUUAUUAAAAUGGUACAAACCAUCCGUCAAUGGUCUAAAAGGGCGUAAGUUGUAGUAUGGUAAGGGUAAGGAAACUUGUUCUUAUUUUUU